ACACACACAAACACACACACACACAAACACAAACACACACACACACACACACACACAGUUUCCUCUGAAAUGAAAGUGAAAUUUGAGUGAUUUAAGAAGCGGAAGUCGAUCGGUCGAGCUGUAAUGACUGGGGACAGGAGCAGAGCUGGUAAAAGAGUUCAGGGUAGAUCCUAUAAAGAUGCUGCUGUUAUUAAUUUACCCGCAGACUUUAAUAAGACUCCGCCUCCAAAUCCUAGAUUGCAGCAGCUAACUAAGUCCCUGACAGAACUUUUGAUGCAGCAGCCAGAUGGUAUCAGUCUGAACGAAGCUCGCAGGUCCUGUCCUCUUCUCUCCGACCCCGAACUGCUGAAAGAUCAUCCGUCCGUCCGGCACCUGCUCCUCUCCAUGCCAGCGGUCGUGUUUCUGGAAGGGUUUGGUGUUCAAGCACGCCUCUUUCCUCCUCCCAAAAAUAGCUGAUGGAAGAUCUAACCCUGUUUACGUUAAAUAUUUUGCAUCAAACCAAUCUUUUUAAGUCUUUCUCUUGAAUUCUUCAUUCUUUCUCUUUAGUUUUUCUUACUUUGAAUGUAAAAAAAUAUAAUGAAUGAAGGCACAUACAACAGUUUCAUUAUCGCAUGUUGUUGCCAUAUGGCAACAAUUACAUUUUACCAUUUAACAGAAUACUCAAAAUAUAAAAACUUGUAUAAUGGCAAAAAUAAAUCUUAACUUAUCUCA